GGGCGUUUGGCACAGUGGUAGCGCGUAUGCUUUGCAUGCAUAAGGUCGUGGGCUCGAAUCCCAUUCAUCUCCUCCA
rnacentral:tRNA from 1 species